UACGUAGGGUGCAAGCGUUAAUCGGAAUUACUGGGCGUAAAGCGUGCGCAGGCGGUUGUGCAAGACAGAUGUGAAAUCCCCGGGCUUAACCUGGGAAUUGCAUUUGUGACUGCACGGCUAGAGUGUGCCAGAGGGGGGUAGAAUUCCACGUGGUAGCAGUGAAAUGCGUAGAUAUGAUGGAGGAAUACCGAUGGCGAAGGCAGCCCCCUGGGAUAACACUGACGCCUCAUGCACGAAAGCGUGGGGAGCAAACAG
rnacentral:rRNA from 1 species